rnacentral:rRNA from 1 species
CACCGGCUAACUCCGUGCCAGCAGCCGCGGUAAUACGGAGGGUGCGAGCGUUAAUCGGAAUUACUGGGCGUAAAGGGUGCGUAGGUUGCUGAUUAAGUUAUCUGUGAAAUUCCUGGGCUCAACCUGGGGUGGUCAGAUAAGACUGGUUAGCUGGAGUAUAGGAGAGGGUAGUGGAAUUUCCGGUGUAGCGGUGAAAUGCGUAGAGAUCGGAAGGAACACCAGUGGCGAAGGCGGCUACCUGGCCUAAUACUGACACUGAGGCACGAAAGCGUGGGGAGCGAACAGGAU